rnacentral:lncRNA from 1 species
AUCAGCUGUUCUAACCCUACUAUUUACCGUACAAUAAAAAAUGCUACUGUUAACAGUCUUGCAGCCUAGAAGUAAUAAACUAUUCCAAAAUAGCAGGUUCCAACUGUUGAUUUCGGUGCCCCAAUGAGAUUAUAAUUGUUAGAAAACAAUGCAACGGAAAAACUAUAUAUUACUAUAAAUUAUCGCAAAAUAAUCCAACAUUUGCCAACAUCUCAGCAUACAGAGUAUUAUUCAGAAGAAACUAUCGCUUACAAUGGGUUCCGGACUAAACAUAGCUUCAAAUGAAGUAACUCUUGACAACAAUAUGAUGUAUUUAUUGUAAUGAAAUUAUUUGUGAACAAUAAAAUCUUUCAGUGGC